rnacentral:rRNA from 1 species
AUACGGAGGGUGCAAGCGUUAAUCGGAAUUACUGGGCGUAAAGCGCACGCAGGCGGUCAAUUAAGUCAGAUGUGAAAGCCCCGAGCUUAACUUGGGAAUUGCAUCUGAAACUGGUUGGCUAGAGUCUUGUAGAGGGGGGUAGAAUUCCAUGUGUAGCGGUGAAAUGCGUAGAGAUGUGGAGGAAUACCGGUGGCGAAGGCGGCCCCCUGGACAAAGACUGACGCUCAGGUGCGAAAGCGUGGGGAGCAAACAGGAUUAGAUACCCUGGUAGUCCACGCUGUAAACGAUGUCGAUUUAGAGGUUGUGGUCUUGAACCGUGGCUUCUGGAGCUAACGCGUUAAAUCGACCGCCUGGGGAGUACGGCCGCAAGGUUAAA